GUGCAGCAGUCGAGAAAUCUUUACAAUGUGCGAAAGCACGAUAAGGGAACUCUGAGUGCCUCCUAAGGAGGCUGUUCAGGUGUCUAAAAAGCACCUGAAGGAAGGGCUGGGUAAGACCGGUGCCAGCCGCCGCAGUAACACCGGCAGCCCAAGUGGUAGCCACGUUUAUUGGGUCUAAAGCGUCCGUAGCCGGCUGGGUAAGUCCUCCGUUAAAUCCAACGAUUCAAUCGUUGGGCUGCGGGGGAUACUGUCCAGCUUGGGGGGCGGGAGAGGCCGACGGUAUUCCCGGGGUAGGGGUGAAAUCCUAUAAUCCCGGGAGGACCACCAGUGGCGAAGGCUGUCGGCUAGAACGCGCCCGACGGUGAGGGAUGAAAGCUGGGGGAGCGAACCGGAUUAGAUACCCCCGGUAGU
rnacentral:rRNA from 1 species